UGGGGAAUAUUGGACAAUGGGCGGAAGCCUGAUCCAGCAACGCCGCGUGAGGGAUGACGGCCUUCGGGUUGUAAACCUCUUUCAGCACCGACGAAGCUCCACUUUUUGGUGGUUUGACGGUAGGUGCAGAAGAAGGACCGGCCAACUGCGUGCCAGCAGCCGCGGUAAUACGGAGGAUCCAAGCGUUAUCCGGAAUUACUGGGCGUAAAGAGUUGCGUAGGUGGCAUCGUAAGUCAAUAGUGAAAGCGUGUGGCUCAACCAUACUCACAUUGUUGAAACUGCGAAGCUAGAGGACAAGAGAGGUUAUUGGAAUUCCCAGUGUAGGAGUGAAAUCCGUAGAUAUUGGGAGGAACACCGAUGGCGUAGGCAGAUAACUGGCUUGUUCCUGACACUAAGGCACGAAAGCGUGGGUAGCAAAC
rnacentral:rRNA from 1 species